CCAGUCCAACAAGGUUCUCCUCUAUUUCUAGACCAACCACCCAAGCCAAGACUGAGGCUCUUCCCAUGUCAAUGUGAUAGCCCAUGGACAGCCCUAACCCCAGCUUUAAGGUUUCCUGGUUGGUUUAAUAGUGUCCAUAGCCCAUGGACAGCCCUAACCCCAGCUUUAAGGUUUCCUGGUUGGUUUAAUAGUGUCCAUAGCCCAUGGACAGCCCUAACCCCAGCUUUAAGGUUUCCUGGUUGGUUUAAUAGUGUCCAUAGCCCAUGGACAGCCCUAACCCCAGCUUUAAGGCUUCUUGGUUGGUUUAAUAGUGUCCAUAGCCCAUGGACAGCCCUAACCCCAGCUUUAAGGUUUCCUGGUUGGUUUAAUAGUGUCCAUAGCCCAUGGAAAGCCCUAACCCCAGCUUUAAGGUUUCCUGGUUGGUUUAAUAGUGUCCAUAGCCCAUGGACAGCCCUAACCUCGGCUUUAAGGCUUCCUGGUUGGUUUAAUAGUGUCCAUAGCCCAUGGAAAGCCCUAACCCCAGCUUUAAGGUUUCCUGGUUGGUUUAAUAGUGUCCAUAGCCCAUGGACAGCCCUAACCCCAGCUUUAAGGCUUCCUGGUUGGUUUAAUAGUGUCCAUAGCCCAUGGACAGCCCUAACCUCAGCUUUAAGGCUUCUUGGUUGGUUUAAUAGUGUCCAUAGCCCAUGGACAGCCCUAACCCCAGCUUUAAGGUUUCCUGGUUGGUUUAAUAGUGUCCAUAGCCCAUGGAAAGCCCUAACCCCAGCUUUAAGGUUUCCUGGUUGGUUUAAUAGUGUCCAUAGCCCAUGGACAGCCCUAACCUCGGCUUUAAGGCUUCCUGGUUGGUUUAAUAGUGUCCAUAGCCCAUGGAAAGCCCUAACCCCAGCUUUAAGGUUUCCUGGUUGGUUUAAUAGUGUCCAUAGCCCAUGGACAGCCCUAACCCCAGCUUUAAGGCUUCCUGGUUGGUUUAAUAGUGUCCAUAGCCCAUGGACAGCCCUAACCCCAGCUUUAAGGUUUCCUGGUUGGUUUAAUAGUGUCCAUAGCCCAUGGACAGCCCUAACUCCAGCUUUAAGGUUUCCUGGUUGGUUUAAUAGUGUCCAUAGCCCAUGGACAGGCCUAACCCCAGCGUUAAGGUUUCCUGGUUGGUUUAAUAGUGUCCAUAGCCCAUGGACAGCCCUAACCCCAGCUUUAAGGUUUCCUGGUUGGUUUAAUAGUGUCCAUAGCCCAUGGACAGCCCUAACCCUAACCCCAGACUCUCCCUCAGCCCCCUUAACUGCUCCUCUCCCAGUCUGA
rnacentral:lncRNA from 1 species